rnacentral:rRNA from 2 species
GGGCCGCACGCGCGCUACACUGACGGAGCCAACGAGUACUAUCCUUGGCCGAGAGGUCCGGGUAAUCUUGUUAAACUCCGUCGUGCUGGGGAUAGAGCAUUGCAAUUAUUGCUCUUCAACGAGGAAUUCCUAGUAAGCGCAAGUCAUCAGCUUGCGUUGAUUACGUCCC